UCUAAAACCAUUAUGGCGCAAAAGCUUGCAUAUAUACUUGUCAAGUGAUCCGCUAGAACACCACAAAAUCUUUUUCCGUGUUUUUUUGUACAUGCUCAAUAUUAAAAAAUCAGUUUUAAAUAGUUAUCUUUGUUGCACCAAAACCCGUUACUCCCAAUAGUGUGACCUUAUGAACACUUGUAAUGUACUGGCGACCUCCAUCUUUUUCCUCCCAUACUCACAUUCUGCCUAUUAGUCUCCCUUUUUACG